rnacentral:misc_RNA from 1 species
CUUGGUCAUUUAGAGGAAGUAAAAGUCGUAACAAGGUCUCCGUUGGUGAACCAGCGGAGGGAUCAUUACAGAGUUGAAAAACUCCCCUAAACCAUUGUGAACCUACCACUAAACAGUUGCUUCGGCGGGUGGGCGCCCCUCCCCAGGGAAGGGCGCCCCGCUAGACCGCCCGCCGGAGGUACCCAAAACUCUUGUUUAACUAAAAGGCCUCUCUGAGUACUGUACUUAAAUAAGUCAAAACUUUCAACAACGGAUCUCUCGGUUCUGGCAUCGAUGAAGAACGCAGCAAAAUGCGAUAAGUAAUGUGAAUUGCAGAAUUCAGUGAAUCAUCGAAUCUUUGAACGCACAUUGCGCCCGCCAGUAUUCUGGCGGGCAUGCCUGUUCGAGCGUCAUUUCAACCAUCAAGCCCCCGGCUUGUGUUGGGGACCUGCGGCUGCCGCAGGCCCUGAAAACCAGUGGCGGGCUCGCUAGUCACUCCGAGCGUAGUAAUACAUCUCGCUCAGGGCGUGCUGCGGGUUCCGGCCGUUAAAAAGCCUUAUUUACCCAAAGGUUGACCUCGGAUCAGGUAGGAAGACCCGCUGAACUUAAGCAUAUCAAUAAGCGGAGGA